AGCGAACGCUGGCGGCAGGCCUAACACAUGCCAGUCGAACGAACCUUUCGGGGUUAGUGGCGGACGGGUGAGUAACACGUGGGAACGUGCCUUUAGGUUCGGAAUAACUCAGGGAAACUUGUGCUAAUACCGAAUGUGCCCUUCGGGGGAAAGAUUAAUCGCCUUUAGAGCGGCCCGCGUCUGAUUAGCUAGUUGGUUGAGGUAAUGGCUCACCAAGGCGACGAUCGGUAGCUGGUCUGAGAGGAUGAUCAGCCACAUUGGGACUGAGACACGGCCCAAACUCCUACGGGAGGCAGCAGUGGGGAAUCUUGCGCAAUGGGCGAAAGCCUGACGCAGCCAUGCCGCGUGAAUGAUGAAGGUCUUAGGAUUGUAAAAUUCUUUCACCGGGGACGAUAAUGACGGUACCCGGAGAAGAAGCCCCGGCUAACUUCGUG
rnacentral:rRNA from 1 species